ACACGCUGCCGUCACCUGGGGAAGUGGCUUUGCUCGGGGGACCUGGCGGAGGCCCCAGGGCUCACGGCAAACCAGGGCCUCUGUGUGGGUGGCUCCCUGUCCGCACCCGGCGCCCAGCCUGCCCCUCCUCCACCCUCCACCGGUCUGGGGAGCCCUGGCUGCUAUGGGCAUGCUGCCACCCAGGGGCCCGGUGCCCUGGCACUGCUGAGGUGGAGUAGUCAGACAGACGCAACAGAGACAGACAGAAGGCCCAGAAGAAGCAGAGACUUCUCAGGAAAGGCAGCACAGGGCCGAGACAGGGCGUCCCUGCCACUGAGCGUCCAGGACCUGCAGCAAGAGCCCACCUUUGUGGUCCUGUAUUCCAGGGCUGGAAGCAGAAACAUCUUAGUGACCUUGGAUCGUGAGCUCUGCGCAGAGGCCAACAGCUGGGUGAAGAGGAAGGGGGUGGAGCUGCGUUCCACACAGGAACCAGUGCCAAGGUCCUGGGGCAGAGCAAAUGGGGGUGGGGGUCACGGUGGACGCUGGCUCUACGGGCUCCUUCCCUGCCAGCAGACUUGUCCACAUACCCAAGACUUCACAGCCUGCCAUGAGUCGGGGUCACAGGUUCAAAUCCCCUGAGCAACCAGACGGCAGCCUCCAGAAAGACACCUCCACCUGCCCCAGGCCACACCACCAGCUGGCCUCUGGUGCAAGUUCUGGGCAGUGAGAGGAAGGAUUCCAGGAAAAUUCUAGAAGGAAGAGGAGGGAGGGCAGCAGGGCCAGGAGGGGUGCACAUGACUCUCAAGACUGCAGCAGACACCGGAGGCGGCACUUUGGAGCCCCGCGCCUGGGAAGGGCGCCAGGCUGGGAGCUGGACCCCUGGGACCGGCCAGCACCACGCCCCUGGACCCACCUGAGACCACCAGGAAAACCAUAGGCGGUCCAGCUGUGGCUGCCCUGGAGCCCGAACACUUCUGUGCAAGGCUGCGGUGACGUUAGGUUAAGGACCCCAGAAUGCCUGAGGCCCUCCCAGGAGGCACCUCAAGUUUGUCCCACGGAGUUUUCCUGUCAAGAGCAGGAAGGUCCUAGCUGCAGCACUCACCGAGGGCCUGUCCUCAACAGCAAGGAAACCAGCACCGGAGGUCUCCAGCCCCAGAGGGCGGCCCCGAGGACGCGCUGCAUCUAUCUGACGCCCGAGACUGGGGACGGUCAGACGGUGUCAACCCCACACCCUCAGGAACCAGGACCAAGUGCCAGGACUGCGGUCAUGAGAGAGUGCCGGCUGGGGACAGGGUUGACAAAGUAACUUAUCAGGAAGAGCCCCGGUGGAGUUCCAGUGCGUCCCACUGUUUGGACAUUUUCACUCCGACUCCACUCACAUCGUGUGGAGUUAUUUGUAGGUAGAGUCUUUCAGGACCCUCGACCACAAGGGCAAAGGACGGGUCAGCCCUUUGGAGUGGGAGCCCUGGAACCAGGUCAGGGUGACUGCCAAGCGGAGCCCCAGGGUCAGCAUCCUGGCAGAGCUGGUCCCCCCACCUCGACGGCUUCCCCGUGAAACCGGGUUAAUCGGCGCAGCCCACAUCAGAGGCAGCGGGCCUCACCGAGAGGACUCGAGACAAGGCUCGGCCGGGCAGCGACACACUGAAGGAUAAUAGCCGCCAGGCGGCUUAGUAAUGGUCUCCAUUAACCAAACGUCCACUCCCCCAGCCCAGGACCACGGACCUUCCACCCACACUCUGGGACCUGGGUUCGAAGCCAGCCCUGGGCUCGGCUGUGAGCUCUGCGGCAAGACUUCCUCCUCCCUUCAGAGCCUCGGUUUAGUCAUUUAUAAAACAGAAAAUGAUGGCUAUUACCAAAAGGCACCCCUGACUGCUGGAGGACAGGCGGCUCCCUGAAAAAUCACCACCAACACCGACUGUAUGACCCGGCCGUGCCGGGGGACACCAAGACCUGCAAGCGGCCUCCCCAGCCAGGGCACGGGGGCAGCGCUCGCAGGGGCGCUCACGGCGCCCAGGAGGUUGCAGCAGCCCAAGUGUCCCCCCCGGGAACGAGCAGACAGGCGUGGCCUCGCCACACAGUGGGAUGUCACCCAGCCAUGAGGACCUCUGACCUCGCGGCAGCGUGGAUAUCCCCUGAGGAUGCUCGCGGAGAGAAGCCAGGACACAGAUCUUGCUGGACGAGUCCCUCACAGGGAUGUCCAGAACAGAGAAACCACGACGCAGAAAGUAAAUUAAGGGGGCUGGGGUGGGGAGGGGGCAGGAAGAACCACCUCAUGGGUAGGGGGCCUCCCUGGGGGUCAGUGGAAAUGUUCUAGAACUAGACAGAGCCGUGGUGACGAUAUUGCUGAAGUCCUAAAUGCUACUGAUUUGUACACUAAAAUGGUCAACGACACGUGACGUGAGUUCUUCCUGAUGCACACAAGGCUUCAGAAAGGCGCCUCUGCACCGUGAGCAGACCUGCUCCCCUCGAGAUGGGCUACGUCCAGCACAAGUUUAACCUGGUGCGGUCCCCCUCGAUGGGCACCUGGGACACCCCACACUUCCCUGGGUGUUCUCAGCACCCUCCAAUCAGGGGAGCGACAGCCAGCCUUCCCCUGGAUGCACACGCACCUGCCGCCCCCAGCACCCCCACAGAGCAGCGUCCCAGGGAGGCCGCGUCUGGCCCCUCCCACCGCGGGGGGAGCCGAGGUCCGUUUACAGGCCCUGCCCAGCAGCACCGGAGUCUGAAAACUCAAGUCCAGCAAUCCCAUCUGAACUGCUAUAAGCGUGUCCGAUAUUUAUAUAUAGAACCCGAAGCAGAUGUGGGGCUUCCAGCCGAUCGCCUGUUUUACACUGUUUACACGGACACACCAGACAAGGCCCCAUUCGAGGUAAUCCGUGCUCUGCUACAGGCCAAAAUCAGCAGUACUCUCAGCACAGGCCUUAUUUAUAUCCACCAAGCGUUACACCGGGCCCCAGUGGAUCACUGGAGGGAGCUACACGUUUGUCAGGAAUGAUCUUUCAUCUGGCGCCAACCCUACGGGAGAGACCACGAAAUAGAAGAAAUCAGAGGUGCACGUGUGGUCAGGUGGGACCCACACUCAGCAAGGAGCAAAGGUGCAAAUGGUCUGCCAGGAAUAAAGUUGGGGCUUCUUGAA